rnacentral:tRNA from 1 species
GGAGUGAUGGCCGAGUGGUUGAUGGCAACAGUCUUGAAAACUGUCGUGGGUGCAAGCUCACCGGGGGUUCGAAUCCCUCUCACUCCG